rnacentral:rRNA from 1 species
UUCGGGAACUCUGAGACAGGUGCUGCAUGGCUGUCGUCAGCUCGUGUUGUGAAAUGUUGGGUUAAGUCCCGCAACGAGCGCAACCCUUAUCCUUGUUUGCCAGCGAGUAAUGUCGGGAACUCCAGGGAGACUGCCGGUGAUAAACCGGAGGAAGGUGGGGACGACGUCAAGUCAUCAUGGCCCUUACGAGUAGGGCUACACACGUGCUACAAUGGCGCAUACAGAGGGCGGCCAACUUGCGAAAGUGAGCGAAUCCCAAAAAGUGCGUCGUAGUCCGGAUUGGAGUCUGCAACUCGACUCCAUGAAGUCGGAAUCGCUAGUAAUCGUGGAUCAGAAUGCCACGGUGAAUACGUUCCCGGGCCUUGUACACACCGCCCGUCACACCAUGGGAGUGGGCUGCAAAAGAAGUAGGUAGUUUAACCUUCGGGGGGACGCUUACCACUUUGUGGUUCAUGACUGGGGUGAAGUCGUAACAAGGUAGCGCUAGGGGAACCUGGCGCUGGAUCACCUCCUUAAACGAUGAU